rnacentral:rRNA from 1 species
GAUGAACGCUGGCGGCGUGCCUAAUACAUGCAAGUCGAGCGAACGGACGAGAAGCUUGCUUUUCUGAUGUUAGCGGCGGACGGGUGAGUAACACGUGGAUAACCUACCUAUAGGACUGGGAUAACGUCGGGAAACCGGAGCUAAUACCGGAUAAUAUUUUGAACCGCAUGGUUCAAAAAUGAAAGACGGUCUUGCUGUCACUUAUAGAUGUAUCCGCGCUGCAUUAGCUAGUUGGUAAGGUAACGGCUUACCAAGGCAACGAUGCAUAGCCGACCUGAGAGGGUGAUCGGCCACACUGGAACUGAGACACGGUCCAGACUCCUACGGGAGGCAGCAGUAGGGAAUCUUCCGCAAUGGGCGAAAGCCUGACGGAGCAACGCCGCGUGAGUGAUGAAGGUCUUCGGAUCGUAAAACUCUGUUAUUAGGGAAGAACAUAUGUGUAAGUAACUGUGCACAUCUUGACGGUACCUAAUCAGAAAGCCACGGCUAACUACGUG